GCCCAGUUGGUUGAGCGUCUGACUUCGGCUCAGGUCAUAAUCUCAUGGAUUGUGGGUUCAAGCCCCACAUUGUGCU
rnacentral:tRNA from 1 species